ACUGCGAAGCCCAGCUGCGCGCGCCUUGGGAUUGACUGUCCACGCUCGCCCGGCUCGUCCGACGCGCCCUCCGCCAGCCGACAGACACAGCCGCACGCACUGCCGUGUUCUCCCUGCGGCUCGGACACAUAGUAUGACCAUUAGGUGUUUCGUCUCCCACCCAUUUUCUAUGGAAAACCAAGGGGAUCGGGCCAUGAUAGCCACUGGCAGCUUUGAAGAACGGGACACCUUUAGAGAAGCUUGAUCUUGGAGGCCUCACCGUGAGACCUUACAAAGCCGGCUCUCCAGAUGAACCACAGAAGCAGGAAUGUGGGCAUCAUCAGUGAAAUCUCUGCAUACAGCAGACAAAGGGCUGGUCCAGUGGCUGUUUAUGAGGCAGCGCUAGGAGAGCUCUGAUCCAGACUCUCCCUGCAGUGAAAGGGAGGGAGCCCUUCAUGAAGUAUUGACUGCUUGAGCAGGAAUUGCUUCACCAGCACCUAACUGAGUGCCUCUCGAGCUCACAUCGGUUUUCCCUCAUGAGGCCACUUGGAGUCUUGCU
rnacentral:lncRNA from 1 species